rnacentral:rRNA from 1 species
UACGUAGGGUGCAAGCGUUGUCCGGAAUUAUUGGGCGGAAAGAGCUCGUAGGCGGUCUGUCGCGUCUGCUGUGAAAACUCGGGGCUUAACCCCGGGCCUGCAGUGGGUACGGGCAGACUAGAGUGCGGUAGGGGAGACUGGAAUUCCUGGUGUAGCGGUGAAAUGCGCAGAUAUCAGGAGGAACACCGGUUGCGAAGGCGGGUCUCUGGGCCGUAACUGACGCUGAGGAGCGAAAGCGUGGGGAGCGAACAGG